UAGCUCCUGGAAACCCACCUCUUGCUGGUUUUAGGAGCCAAGCAGGGUCUGUUAAUGGCUAAUUCAUACUGAGCUUUGUGGUUUCUAAUUGGUCUGUUCUGUCUCGUUAAAGACCUUUGAUUUAGUUCAGAUCAAUUAUCUGUGGUCUGACCCUGUUGUGAUCGUACACUGUAAAAGCUAAUUCCUUUUUGUUCGGUGUGGGAAGAUACAGUCCUUUUUGGACCCUUUUUUAAAGCACUCAUAUACAAAGAUGUAACCAUUUUCAGCUGUGUCCCCUUGGAAUCAGAGCAUGCUGGGUAAAUGUCAGUCCACUGACGGAGAGCUAAGUAAGAAGAGCCCAAAAGCUCGAUCUUUCUUCUUUACAUGGAGCAAAUAUGUGACUUUAAUAGACAUCAGCAGCAUUGUACUAUAAUUAAGUUGUCUUUAAUGUAACUGUAUAUUCUUCUAUUAUCAACUUCGGGAAAGGCUGGAUCUACAGAAUGACCUACACUUACAGAGUUACAGCACAGAUUGAUAUCCCUUUUAAGCUUGCUUUAUGAUGGAAAAUACAAUAAAAUUCUAUAAAAUGAGAUGGCCACAACUUUUAAGAGCAUUACUGAAUGAAAUGGCUGUCGUCAGGGUGUCUCACUGACACUUCCACAGUGGCUGUUUAAAUGACAUAUGGCUACUUUGUUACACAAGUAAUCUUAUUUCUUCCAAGUCAUGUUUAAAUCAUGUCACACUACCUCUCUUUGAGUUUGAACUUUAAUGCUUUACCACUGAUGGCCAACAGAUGGAGCUACAGACCGUUGAGAGGUCACCUGGUUUAUGAAAGGUUCAUUGUAUUGAUCAUGAAAUAGGUGUAAUAUUAAAUGAAAAACUGUACUGGCUUAAUGCAGGGCAUCAGAGGUCACUGAAAGGUUUAGUAAGUGUGACUGUGCUUUGGCUCUCACAGUCACUAGAUCACAUUUUGUACUAAGGGAGUGUUCAUUACUUGUAAGGGGGGAAGGGGGUGGUGAAAAAAAGGGGAAGGCAUGUCAAAUAUUUUUUUAAAAGCACUAAGGAGGGACCUGUGUUUUUUAAGCUUAUGAGAAGGGCAUACAAAGAUGCAAAUGCUUGUAUUUUGUGUUUAUUUGUAUUUAUUAUUUUUAUGAUUACAAAAAAGAAGAAAUGCUUUCUUUAAAAAUCACCAAAAUCUCUUCACAGCCAGACUGUGAAAACAAAAAUUUUUGGUGGAUUUUCAUAUUUCUGACAGUCCUUGGACACAGCAUGUGUGACAAACACUUCUGUCAGAAAAAAUAAAUACAAGAAUAAGCUCCUAGUGAUAUAUUACCAAAAUCACUUUAUUCUAUGUCUAAUUUAAAAUUUGGGCAAAACAAAACAAAACAAAACAAAACAAGAAAAACAUUUGUGCAAACUAACUAGCGUCCAUGUGGAAAGCAGAAAAACCAUGGCUUCUUUCAACUCCAGGAUUUCAUCUACAACUUUUAACUUUUAACUUUCAAACAUCAAAGGGUUGGAGGUUUUAAAAUCUAACAACUUAUUUACAGUGGAUGGAGGAUCGUGCAUUUUCCACCAGUCAUUCAGGGAGGCUGGAGAUAAAACAUCUUUGAGGAGGGUCAAAAAAGAAAUGAAGCCACACCCCAGCCACCCCCCUCCUCUGAUAAGUAAAGAACAGUCCCUAACAUAAUAUGGCUGCAAGAUGAUAAGAAGCUCACUGCAUAAAAGUCGCACUCUGGCAACUGCAAAUUCACCUCAAAUCAGAUUUUCUUGUAAAAGAGCCAACAUUUUACACUGCUGCAUUGUUUGCAAGCUAUGUUGUUGAACUACACUUACAAACAUAUUAUUUAUGGGACAUUCUUGCCAGGUGCAACAAAUUUCUUUCAUAGUGAAAAAAAGCCUAAUUGUUCACCUAUUUGCACCUCCUGUAGCCUUGUCUUUCUGGAUCGCCAUGAGACAGAAAUAUAGACUCAAGAUAUGACACCUGUAAAAGUCUGAUUUCAUAUGUAAUGUAGAACUAAAAACAUCUACCGAACAAAAACCGAAGUGAUACUUUUAAAAAAAAUCUCUGCUGGUUCUUCAGGAGUUUAUAUAUAUUUAUGCAGGAGGAACAUCACAUACAUCACCAGAGGACACCUGCCUUCAGUCAGUGAUAUUUACAUGUUGAACGUCAUUCCUGAAAUAUCUUAAUGUCAAACAGGCUACACUGAAACUAAAGUUGGUGUUUGGUUCAACUUGUUUCUUAAAAAUGUUUUCCUACCAUAAAACACAUGAAACCAUCCAAAGGAGUGUAUUACUCUACAAGCAAGGAUCUGCAAAAGUCCCAUCAAUGAGUCAAACAUAAUUACAUGCAAGGUUCAGGUUCUGCAGCAUUGUUAAUGCUUACCUGCUCGUGUGGAUGGAGCGCCACUCCUCGUACAUGACGUGUUCUUUCACAGCUUUCUGAGGGACAACAAGGCUUUCAGCUAAUCAGUUCAAGAGGCAAUGGCGCAACCCUUGAUGAACUGGAACACGGACCUCUUUGACUGUUGUGGGGAGA